GCCAGCCCGCUCAGAAACUCAAAGGAAUGGACGGGGGCCCCGCACAAGCGGUGGAGUAUGUGGUUUAAUUCGAUGCAACGCGAAGAACCUUACCUGGUCUUGACAUCCCGGAGACCCUUAGGAAACUAGGGGGUGCUUCCAUCUGGAAGAAUCUGGAGACAGGUGCUGCAUGGCUGUCGUCAGCUCGUGUCGUGAGAUGUUGGGUUAAGUCCCGCAACGAGCGCAACCCUUGCCUUUAGUUGCCAGCAGUUCGGCUGGGCACUCUAAAGGGACUGCCGGUGUUAAACCGGAGGAAGGUGGGGAUGACGUCAAGUCCUCAUGGCCUUUAUGACCAGGGCUACACACGUACUACAAUGGCCGAUACAAAGGGCAGCGACACUGCGAGGUGAAGCCAAUCCCGUAAAAUCGGUCUCAGUCCGGAUUGGAGUCUGCAACUCGACUCCAUGAAGUUGGAAUCGCUAGUAAUCGUGGAUCAGCAUGCCACGGUGAAUACGUUCCCGGGCCUU
rnacentral:rRNA from 1 species